UUUAGAAGAAAAAUGUAUACUUUACAUAAUAAAAAAUAAAAUUCUGAAAUAUUUUGCGCGUAUAUGUUAUGUUUGUUAUUUUAUAAUUACCUGGUAAAAUACAACAAGGGAGGUAACUGUUAAAUUGUAAACAAACAACAACAACUUGGCUGUAACACUUGAGAAGUUUAUUGAUUACACAGUCACUAAUGAACUAUGAGUGAAGACCUGUAUGAGUAUGAUUCUGAAGGAACUGAUGGCAGUGAUGCAGUUAUAGAGAUUUCAGAUUCAGACGAAACUUUGCCGCCAUCUGACAAAGAAACACAGCCACCUCUGGAGGAAUGUGGUCAGGAAGUUGAAUGGUCCCAGUCACCAUUAGGAUAUUUUGAUUAUUAUUUUUAUAUUCCAUCCUAUGGUGAUCGGAGACUAAGAAACAGUGUAGACAAAUGAG